rnacentral:lncRNA from 1 species
CAGAAAUUUUAUAAGAAAAAUGUCCAGACAUAGAACUUUACCCUGUAGUUUGUUUAUUUUUUUUUUCAGAGUCAAAAUAUCUCUCAAAUGCUCAGUUCUGAACUAACAGAGAAACAGCAGGAGGAUUAAAAAAAAAAAAAAAAACAAGGCUGAAUUUCAGUCACACAGAUCUCAGCAAGAAGCAAAAAUAAACUCUUUAAGUGAUGUUCCUUUUGCUCGGCUCCCAGAGGCAGGUUUGGUAAUGAGAGGUCACUAGGGGAUUCUAAGAACACAAACUAUCCAAAAAAAUCAAUCGACUUUUCUGAUGAUAUUGAGGAUGGAUAGAAAUGCAGAGAGAAAUAAGAAGAGAACACACCGAUGUAUGCCGUUAUUGUCGGCUGCAAACUUACGGCUCCCUGACUCACUCCUCUCAAUUGACUGCUUAUCAGAGUACAUGUGGGUGUGGACAUGUGAUCAUUUGUACUAUGACUGGAAGUAGAAUAUGAAUCAGUCCGGUAAGGUAAUGCUCUUUCACGUCAUUGGCGGUUCCCCACUAUAAGUUGGAAACAAUCCAACACUGGAUUUCAGCACAACUCUGGGAUAUUUACUAUGGAGGACAUCUACACUGUACUGUGUGUGUUUCUGACAUCUUCCAGUCCAGAAGAACAAUGGGAAAAUUUAAGUUCCUCUUUACUUUGGGUAGGAUAACUGGUUGUUACUUCAAACAAGAUUCUGUGACUUGAUUACAGGGCUCUUUACCCCAAAUUGUGGAUUGAACCUGGGUCUUGAAUGCAAAAUGCAUUCAAGAAAGAAUUUCAAACUUCC